rnacentral:lncRNA from 10 species
AGAGCAAAUCUCUGUCACCCCACCAGUGACAAUUCUCAGGCCCUCUGGCUCUUGUUUGGCUACACUCUGAGGCAACAGUAGGGACCCUCAAAGAUCAAGAGUCUGAAAAGGUCAGAGAAGCCCUGAUGGGGCCUUUGAAAGUAUAUGACAUCACAGUGGGUACCAGGAGAGGCCAUGCCUGGAAAAAGGAGCAAUAAUAAUAACAGCUAUAUUGAUAGCUGUGCAACAGAUAACUAUUGAAGCAGUCUACAAAUAUGGAACUCUUUUUACCUGACCAACAUCUCUAUGAGACGUCUUUCUUCCCUUCUCUUGAAGCUGACAAUGGAGGGAGAGGACUGGUCUGCCAAGAGAGCCAACCCUAAGGAGGCUAAAACGGGGAAAAGAGCUCAUGACCCCAGGAUAAAAUCCAUUCUUUUGUAACGUGGUGUAAAGGCCCUUGCAUCUGUCUUCACUUCCACUCUUGCCACUGCUGCCCCCUGAGGCAGUGCUGCAGCCAUAAGGAACUUUAUUUUUUCCCUAAAUGUGCUCCACCCCUCACAGGUACUGUUCCUUCCACUGGAAAGA